rnacentral:rRNA from 2 species
AACGUAGGUGGCAAGCGUUGUCCGGAAUUACUGGGUGUAAAGGGAGCGCAGGCGGGAGAGCAAGUUGGAAGUGAAAUCUGUGGGCUCAACUCACAAAUUGCUUUCAAAACUGUUUUUCUUGAGUGGUGUAGAGGUAGGCGGAAUUCCCGGUGUAGCGGUGGAAUGCGUAGAUAUCGGGAGGAACACCAGUGGCGAAGGCGGCCUACUGGGCACUAACUGACGCUGAGGCUCGAAAGCAUGGGUAGCAAACAGG